GAGGACCGUAUUCAUGGAAGAGGAUUGAACAGUAAAGAACCCAGCAAUUGGUAAAGAUGAGAAUAUAUCGCCUCAAGUAAAAGGAGAUGAAGACAUGGGAGAUGAAAUUGACAGUAUGUUGGCUACAUCUGGAGGUCUUUUCUCCUGAGAACACGGGACUCCAGCAUCUUCGGAUUCUGCUCUUGGAGGUGUGAGUCCCUGCCUCUCUGCACAGGGGAACUUAUGUCUCUCCACAUGUCCGCAAAUGUCUACCCAAGAUUAUACAUCUUCCAAAGGCUUUCAAAUACUUCUUUACAUAAACAAGGGGUUUGCCCCACAUCCUCUAUAUUGCAGAAAACAAGACUAGGCUCUACCUCUGUAGAUCAAGCACGACUGAAAUCCGUGCUCUCAAAAGAUGCUGGGGAGAAAGAGUGCCAUUCUUCACAAAUGCUGCUGCAUCAUUGGACUGAAAGUGAAUGGCCCAUGUGUUGCCACUGAUGUGAGCCAUUUGCCUGUUGUGCUUCA
rnacentral:precursor_RNA from 1 species